rnacentral:rRNA from 1 species
GAUGAACGCUGGCGGCGUGCCUACUACAUGCAAGUCGAGCGAACGGACGAGAAGCUUGCUUUUCUGAUGUUAGCGGCGGACGGGUGAGUAACACGUGGAUAACCUACCUAUAAGACUGGGAUAACUUCGGGAAACCGGAGCUAAUACCGGAUAAUAUUUUGAACCGCAUGGUUCAAAAGUGAAAGACGGUCUUGCUGUCACUUAUAGAUGGAUCCGCGCUGCAUUAGCUAGUUGGUAAGGUAACGGCUUACCAAGGCAACGAUGCAUAGCCGACCUGAGAGGGUGAUCGGCCACACUGGAACUGAGACACGGUCCAGACUCCUACGGGAGGCAGCAGUAGGGAAUCUUCCGCAAUGGGCGAAAGCCUGACGGAGCAACGCCGCGUGAGUGAUGAAGGUCUUCGGAUCGUAAAACUCUGUUAUUAGGGAAGAACAUAUGUGUAAGUAACUGUGCACAUCUUGACGGUACCUAAUCAGAAAGCCACGGCUAACUACGUG